UACGGAGGAUCCGAGCGUUAUCCGGAUUCAUUGGGUUUAAAGGGUGCGUAGGCGGACUAUUAAGUCAGUGGUGAAAGCCUGCAGCUUAACUGCAGAACUGCCAUUGAUACUGAUAGUCUUGAGUUUGGUUAAGGUAGGCGGAAUGUGUAAUGUAGCGGUGAAAUGCUUAGAUAUUACACAGAACACCGAUUGCGAAGGCAGCUUGCUGGGUCAUUACUGACGCUGAUGCACGAAAGCGUGGGGAUCAAACAGGA
rnacentral:rRNA from 1 species